rnacentral:rRNA from 1 species
AUACGGAGGGAGCAAGCGUUAUUCGGAAUCACUGGGCGUAAAGGACGCGUAGGCGGGUUUGUAAGUCAGGUGUGAAAUCCUACAGCUCAACUGUAGAACUGCACUUGAAACUACAGACCUAGAGUAUGGAAGGGGCAGAUGGAAUUAGUGGUGUAGGGGUAAAAUCCGUAGAUAUCACUAGGAAUACCGAAAGCGAAGGCGAUCUGCUGGGUCAUUACUGACGCUGAGGCGUGAAAGCGUGGGGAGCAAACAGGAUUAGAAACCCCAGUAGUCC